CCUCCCGGCCCCGCCGCCGCCGCCGCCGCCGCCGCCGCCGCCGGGCAGGUUUACCUUCCUGACGAGAUUACCAGCUGGUCUGCUUCCUUACAACUUAACCAACGUUGAGUCCUACAUGUCUUAAAAGGAUAAACUGUGAGGACAAAUCCUUUCAAAAUCAGAAUUAGUUCCUUGGAAAAGAGUGAGGCCACAAUUAUCCCUUAAGUAGGAGCAGCUGCAACAUGGGAUCGGCCUGGAGCGUGGCGGUGAAGUGUUUCUCCAAUGCAAUUAAAUGGAUUUUUUAAAUGCAAACUAAUAUUCUAUAAAAAGUCACUUGGAAGCCUUCAAUUCACUAAUUCAAAAAUCAAACAUUUUGAAGACAGCAAGAGACUCUUGAGCUCCCACUCAGGCUGAUGGUUGCUACUGAGUUCCCACUCAUCCCAUGAAAUCUUCCAGGGCUGAUUAGGAUCUAUAGAUGCAGAUGUGGAGACACAUAGAUGUAAUGACAUUUACUGUACACUGUUGGACAGAGCAUCCCUGAUUUGAAGACCUAGACUCCUGAGCACUGAACAACGGCUCCAAGGUGGCAAAGCAUCCAUGGUCAACUGACCCUCUGUCUCUGGAUAUCAAGGGAAUGAAGAGAUGUAAAGCUUUUUUAUCUGGGAUUUAAAAAAAGCAUCUUGGUGGAGAUUUCACAGAAUUUCAUUGAGAUAUCCACAUGAGUGGCCCUUAUUAAGAUGAGAAAUUGUUAUGGAUAAUAAUAUAAGAACAAGACAAAUGAUUGUUCCAAGGGAUGUUUCACAUGAAAAGAAUAUUUUUAGAAGGAAAGAGUUAAUUUCAUAAGAAUGUGAUUUAUAAAACUAAGAGAAAAGCCAAUGGUUUUAGUAUCAUUGUAUUAAAUUGUAAUAGUUUGUUAAAUAAUAUCUCAGAAUUCCUUUAGGUGACAAUUAGCAGAUCUCUUCCCAGAGAUAAUGGAAACAAGCAGUGGGUUUGAGCAAGAUGUUGGUACAGAAAAUAGACAUGUUGAAUGGUUUCAAAAUACCCCUGGGGUGGAAGAACAAUAUUAGCUGUAAAAUAGCCAAAUUAAAAAUCAUUUAAAGUCA